UCCCGGCUAGCUCAGUUGGUAGAGCGUCAGACUCUUAGAUCAUAAGAGUUUCUGCAUAAUAGUGCAGCGCAAUCUGAAUGUCGUGGGUUCGAGCCCCACGUUGGGAG
rnacentral:tRNA from 1 species